AUUUGGGGGGGUUUUAUCCCAAAAGCGCCCAGGGCCUGAUCCAGAUCUGGAUCCUGAUCCCUGUCCCGGUCCCAGUCCCAGUCCCAGCACCCAGGGGGGCUGCAGCUUGCCCCGGCCCCGAUCAGCCCCAGUCGGUCCCAGUCCUGAUCCAAGUACCAGUCCUAAUCCUGAUUCCAGUCCCAAUCCUGGUCCUGAUCCCAGCACCCCAGGGAGCCACAGCUGGCCCCCAGCCCCAAUCAGCCCCGGUCGGUCCAGUCCCAACCCCAAUCCUGAUCCCAGUCCCAGUCCCAAUCCUAAUCCCAAACCUAAUCCCAAUCCCAAUCCCAAACCCAAUCCCGAUCCAGAUCCUGGUCCAAAUCCCAGCACCCCAGAGUACCACAGCUGGCCCCUGGCCCCGAUCAGCCACGGUCGGUCCCAAUCCCAGUCUCGGUCCCAGUCCCAAUCCCAAUCCCAGUCCCGAUCCUAAUCCCGAUCCCAAUCCCAAUCCGGAUCCCCGUCCCAAUCCCAGCACCCCGUGUGGCUGCAGCUGGCCCCCGGCCCGGAUCGGCCCCGAUCGGCCCCAGCCGGUCCCGACCCCAAUCCCAAUCCCGAUCCCAGUCCUAAUCCCAAACCCAAUCCCAGUCCCAAUCCCGACCCCAAUCCGGAUCCGGAUCUCGGUCCCGGUCCCGGUCCCACCCCGUGUGCCCGCAGCCCGCCCCCUGCCCCUCUCGGUCCCCUCCCGGCCCGGUCCCGGCCCCCCCCGCACCUGCCCCGUCCCCGUCCCCGUCCCUGUCCCCGGCCCGGCCCCGGUCCCGGCCCCGCCGCCCCCGGCCCCAGCGGAAGUGAGCGCGGGGCGGGNNNNNNNNNNNNNNNNNNNNNAUCACUUCAAAUAUCUAAAAUAAUGAUUUGGCUAAAUUACAACUAACCAGAGAGCUGAUUCUAUGGCUUGAUUCUGUGUAUGUGAAGUGAGUCCUGGUGUGUAGCAUGAUGGCACAAUGAGUCUAGAGUACAAUAACUGCUGAGAUAGUUGUGGAGCCUUUCACCACCUAGAUUCAGUGCACUAUGUGUUCAUAUACUGUGGAGCAGGCAUGGGUCCUGUCAAAGACAACAGCAAACACCAGGUGCACUUACUCUGAAAACAGAGUCAGGAAAAUUAUGGGAAGUGCAAUGGUUACAGCAAAUGGAUAGUGAGCCUUCCCUCCGAUAAUAUGUUAAUUCUGUCCCUGUGACUUGGUUCGUGUGAUAGAGUCAUAGGUAAAAAAUGGACUUAGCUUCAUAUACUGAGCUGUCGUUACAAGGUGAGUAAUGACUUACAAUGCUUCUGUCUGGCCAACUCUUUCUUCUUCUCUGCUGCUGUUCAGCCUGUAGGAAAAGGCAACUCAUUCCAGAAUUGCUUCAGCCAGGCAAGGCUUGCUUUUGCUUCUCUCAUUCCAGAAUGGCCAGGAGAAGUUUCCUUUCUUCCAGCCCAGCAGAGAAGGCUCUCCUAGUUUACUGGUAGAAAUAGAGUAUUUCCUUUUUUAGAAAUAGAAUAUUUCCUUUUUUACUGGUAGAAAUUCUCUAUUUCUACCAGUAAAAAAGGAAAAAAAAUAAAAAAAUAAACCAAAAGUGAUGAGUAGGGAGAGCUCUGCAGGGUGCGCCUCAAGGUCAGCGCAUGCCGUGCGCGUGGGGAACCCCGUCCCAGCGUGCCCCGGGGCUGGGGGGCUGCAGCCCAUCCGUCCCCCCCCCCCCCCGGGCCCCCNNNNNNNNNNNNNNNNNNNNNNNNNNNNNNNNNNNNNNNNNNNCCCCGCCGGGCCCGGGGGUGGGGGGGCGGCACCCCCCCGCCCCCCCCCCCCCCCAGGGACCACUGCCAGGGCCGGGCACUGCGGGGGUGCUUUUUGGCUGGGCUGGGCCCGGCUGCUGAUUGGCCGAGCUGUUGCUGUGCUGAUUGGCCGGUGGUGUAGGUGACAUGGCCGCUGGGGGGGGCCACAGGCGCUGGUUGGCUUGGGGGGGGCCGUGGUUGGGUGCAGGGCUGCUGGGGGGCGCCAUGCCCACGGCCCCUCGUGGGCCAAGGGGUCCCUGCGUGGUGGGUGGGCGAGGGGUCAAUGGGGUGGGUAGGUGGUCAACUGAUUGGGUGGGUGGUCAACUGGUUGGGUUGGUGGUCAACUGGUUGGGUGGUCAACUGGUUAGGUAGGUGGUCAACUGGUUGGGUAGGUGGUCACCCCAUUGGGUAGGUGGUCACCUGGUUGGGUGGUCAAGUGGUUGGGUAGGUGGUCAGCUGGUUGGAUAGGUGGUCACCUGGUUGAUAGGGUGGUCACCUGGUCGGGUAGGUGGUCAACUGGUUAGGUGGUCACCCCGUUGGGUAGGUGGUCAAGUGGUUGGGUAGGUGGUCACCCUGUUGGGUAGGUGGUCACCCCGUUGGGUGGGUGGUCACCUGGUUGGGUAGGCACCUGGUUGGGUAGGUGGUCACCCCGUUGGGUAGGUGGUCACCUGGUUGGGUAAGUGGUCACCCCAUUGGUUAGGUGGUUACCCCGUUGUUUGGGUGGUCACCCCGUUGGGUAGGUGGUCACCUGGUUAGGUAGGUGGUCAACUGGUUGGCCAGGUGAUCAACUGGUUGAUAGGGUGGUCACCUGGUUGAGUAGGUGGUCAACCAGUUGGGUUUGUCAACUGGCCCGGUGAGCCACGAGAGCCAAUUUCAGGUGCUCCGUGCGCACUGCUUGGCCGCGUAGCUCACAGCUCCUCGUAGACCAAGUGCUCCACGUGUACUGGGUGGCCGGGUAGCCAACUGGUUGACACCACGAGGUGGCCCCAUGGCUCCUCGCACUCUAAGAGGUCCACGCCUGCUGGCUGGGGUGGUCUUGGCCCGGUGGUCCAUGGAUGCCGAUGGCUCCAGUGCUCCAUGCGCUCUGAUGGCCCAGGAGGGCUGCACGUGCAGCUCGGCUGGUGGCCCCGUGGGCUGACGGGCUGGUUGCCCCCCACCCUGGUGUCCCAUCCCGGUCCGCCCCCCGCUCCCCCUGCCCUCCUGGGGACAUUCCCACCUCCCCUCCACCCCGCAGUGACACCGGGGACCCGUUCCCAGGACCCGGGGGUCCCACUGCAGCACCGCUCCCCCAGCACAUGGGGAGGGGGGGGGCUGCGAGUGGAGCCCCCCGGGGGUCUUCGCCCCCCACCCACACCACGGGGGUGCCACCGUGCGCC
rnacentral:lncRNA from 1 species